rnacentral:rRNA from 1 species
CAGUCGCCGCGGGAAUACGUAGGGGGCGAGCGUUGUCCGAAGUUACUGGGCGUAAAGCGCGCGUAGGCGGCUUCUUAAGUCUGAGGUGAAAGGUUCAACGCUUAACGUGAACAGUGCCUUGGAUACUGGGGAGCUUGAGUAUGGGAGAGGGCAGUGGAAUGGCUGGUGUAGCGGUGAAAUGCGUAGAUAUCAGUCGGAACACCCAUGGCGAAGGCAGCUGCCUGGCCUAAUACUGACGCUGAGGUGCGAAAGCGUGGGGAGCGAACGGGAUUAGAUACCCGUGUAGUCCCUGUCUCUUAUA